CGUUUUUCAUUUCCGUUAGUUGCCAAGUCGCCAUUACAUUCGCCAUUUUGAUUCCCUUGUGGCAACAAGGUUUGUUCGUAUUCUAAUUUCUUAAUCGAUUUUAAUGUGAAAAAGUGUUUAUUUCUCUUGAAAAGUAAUUCUCGUACAGUGAAAAUGAGUUACGGGCGUCCUCCACCCCGUAUUGACGGGAUGGUUUCGUUAAAAGUGGACAAUUUGACGUACCGAACGACGCCGGAGGAUUUGCGUCGUGUUUUCGAGCGAUGCGGUGAAGUGGGCGAUAUUUAUAUACCUCGAGAUCGUUUUACUCGCGAGAGCCGUGGCUUUGCUUUCGUCAGAUUUUAUGAUAAAAGAGACGCUGAAGACGCACUUGAUGCCAUGGAUGGUCGUCUUUUGGAUGGUAGGGAAUUGAGAGUUCAAAUGGCUCGAUAUGGAAGACCAACUUCUCCACACAGAAGUCGCAACAGUCGUCGUCGUGGAAGAUCACGCAGUCGUAGCCGAGAUCGCAGACGAUCACGAUCACGAUCUCGCUCCAGAUCACGAAGCCGCGACAGGGAUCGUAAACGUUCUUACAGUCGUAGCCGCAGCCGUUCCCGAUCCGACAGCAAAAGUUCCCGAGGAAAAUCCCAUUCUCGCAGCAAAUCUGCUGACAGACAAAAAGACAGUCGUUCUAAAUCCAGAGAUUGAACGAUUGAAGACGAAAUUGGAGAUAAUAUGAACAGGCAUUAUCGUGAUGUUCCUGCCUGAAAGCAGAAUACAAAAAGGCGGUGGAAAGGAGUGGCGUGGCGAGUGUCGCUGAUGAUGGGGUAGCUGAGAGUAAGCAGCAAGCUGAGAGUAGCAGGGCUGUCUAAGCAGUUUGCAGUAGCAAGCGGUUGGUGGUCUGGUGAAUGCAGGUUCGCGAACGUUGAACGAAAGUGAAAAUCCGGUGUGUCUCUGGGGGGUGCAGAAAAUAAGAGAGAGAAAGAGAGAAAGAGUACGUGUCGAAAACGCUGAUAUAUGCAGAAUGCAGGCCCGAAAUCAACGAACAAAUUUGCUGCCGACGAGGCUGUCCGGAGCAGCCUCGCGUUGUUGAAACCAGGUAGCCCGGGAAGUCACCAGACCUCGCGAGCAACAACACGUAAAAAUUAUUUUUUUAACGAAGGUCGAGGCUAGUCGAUUAGAAAUUUAAUUAAUGAAUGAAAAAUGUUUAUUAAACAUUUGCAGUGGUUAUAGGUUGUCCCGUAUUCAUAAAAUAUUUAUUUUACAAAAAUCAUUUUGUUUUUCCCAUUUCAAAAUUUUUAUUUAAAAAUUUAUCCAAGUUAAAAAAGUAGGGAUUAAUUUGCAAAAUGUUGAUUUCUGAG